UACGGAGGGUGCAAGCGUUAAUCGGAAUUACUGGGCGUAAAGCGCACGCAGGUGGCUGAGUCAGUCGAUUGUGAAAGCCCUGGGCUUAACCUGGGAAUUGCAGUCGAUACUACUCAGCUAGAGUAUGGGAGAGGGUAGUGGAAUUCCCGGUGUAGCGGUGAAAUGCGCAGAUAUCGGGAAGAACACCCGUGGCGAAGGCGGCUCUCUGGAACGCAACUGACGCUGAGACGCGAAAGCGUGGGGAGCAAACAGG
rnacentral:rRNA from 1 species